GACGAACCGUGCAAACGUUGUUCGGAAUCACUGGGCUUAAAGGGCGCGUAGGCGGGCUCUCAAGUCUGUGGUGAAAUACUCCGGCUCAACUGGAGAACUGCCGCGGAUACUGGGGGUCUCGAGGGAGGUAGGGGCGCGCGGAACACUAGGUGGAGCGGUGAAAUGCGUUGAUAUCUAGUGGAACUCCGGUGGCGAAGGCGGCGCGCUGGACCUCUUCUGACGCUGAGGCGCGAAAGCCAGGGGAGCGAACGGG
rnacentral:rRNA from 1 species